GACUAACCCGUUGCUGUGUAGGCGUAUCCUUAACCAUGAUCUGCAGUUCUUGGGAGGGACUGCAUAGAACCUACAUUAGCCUGCAGAGCGCUUUAAGUAAGGUUUGUCCAUUGGGUGAGUUUAGAGUUUGUCUCCCCUAUAAGCUAAUGUUAUGCCGUUUUCUUCGAUAAUACAUAGAAAAUGGAUAGUGUAGUAGAGACUAAUGUGAUUCCCGUCAAGCACUGAUUUAUUUCUAUACUUAUUUUUUUGAGAAGAGGAGGAGGACAAGAAUGAAGAGGAAUACGACGAAGAGGAGGAUGAUGAGAGGGAUAAAAGAAUAGUGGCAAUGAUUACGAUGAUAGAGGAAAACAAUAAGGAAGACAUAAAGAAAAUGGAAGAAGACAAGGAGUUGAGUGACAAAACAAUUGGAAGAAAAGGAAUAUAAGGAGAAGGAAGGGGAGGCGAAGAGGAGGAGAAAGAAGACAACAAUAAGGAGGAGGAAGACGAGGAGGAGGAUGAGUGGGACAAAAUAGAGGGAGGAAGAUAAGUGGAACAAAACAACGGGAGGAGGAAGAUGAGCAGAGAGAGGAGUAAGAAGAUAAGAAUAAGGAGGAGAGAGUGGAGGAGGAAAGGGAGAGGGAGAAAACAGGAGGAGGAGGAGGAUAUCAGGUUUACUUUAGCUUUCAAACGACGGUGCACUACGAAUGACCUUUAGUAAGUUAGGAAGCUGUUCAUAUAAUUAAUUGUAGCUCAUCAUCGUCAUCAUCAUCUCCCUAUAUCAUUUCACUGAAGGGUAUAGGUCCCUAACAACUCUUUUAUCGUUCGCGUCUGUCCUAUGACUAAUAUAACUUGUUCUCUGACUCACAAACUAAUUCUCAGCAGGUUAUUUACUUCCGAGAUUUCCUGAUCAUAUACAGACAUUGGUACAGACAGACAAACAGACAGACGUAUAGAUUAACAUACACAUAUACAGACAGAUAGACAGGCAUAUAAACACGAAUAAUUAUAUAGAGAAACAAAUAUAAUAAUAGAAAGACAAACAGGCAGACAGACAGGCAUAUAGUGAGGCGGAGAAACAGACACACACAAAAUGAAAUAAAUAAGAAAGCCCGAUAGACAGACAGACGGGAAGAUAAGUAACAGACAGACAGACAGAUGAACUUGACCUUGAAGAAGAUUACAUUAACAAACAUCACACCAGGAAGUUAAAAAAAAAAUCAUAGAUAUUUUUAUAUAAAUCCAUAAAAAACAAUCACACCCAAACACUAAAACAGACAAACAAACAAACAGUCAACGAGCAUGCAAAUAAACAAGACAAACGGAAGCAGAAAUGCCCCAAUGACAUGGCGGUGAUAGUGUAACGGGCUUGUCGGGGGGCGUUUAAAGGGUGUUGAUUAAGACUUCAGCUUCCUUAAGGCGAAUUAUAUUCGUAGCCUUUAUGUACAAGAAGCGUCGGAGCGAGAGCGAUUGUCGUUGUGUGUCAGUCGGACUCCCGUGAAAGAGUGACGAGUUACAGGUUGGAAAAUAAUUGUUACAAUUGGUCACGUAUGUCAAGGUGACCUCCGCGCACCAUCGGAGUGCGAAGUAUACAAAACUGAGACGAUAAACACUGACGGACGACAUUCCUAUAAGGUGGCGUGAUCUAUCUGUCGUGGGUUUUUCCAUUGACAAUUGUAUGCCUAAUUCGUGGUGAUAUUAAAUAAUAAUAAUACAUUGAUAUCCUACUAUAACAAUAGAAAUAGCCACAUGCAUAAAUUCAGUGCUAAGUUGAUAAAUGUACGAGGAUUGAAUAUGAAUAAGCUGACGGAAUUAGGACACUUACUAUCUAUAUCAGACCCUGUGACAUACCGUUUUUCGCAAAUAUGUUUCAAACGAAGACUCGGAUCAGCAUGGUGCUUUGGCACAGAUGGACAUGAAGGGUUCCUAGGAACGGAAAAAACCCUUCCACAGCAAUGGAAAACUGAUACUAGAUUGGGUGGAGAAAUAUAACUUCAUACUGUUAAAUGAUACUUUAGAAUGUGAAGGCACAUAUACUUGGACAGACAGAGAAAGGAGAAGCAUCAUAGACUAUGUAUUGAUAAACACAAAGCUAUACGAGAAAUUCGUCAACAUGCAUAUUGAUGAAACCAAAGAAAUAUUUGACCUAUCAAACCACAACCUAAUAACAGUAAACUAAGCUGAAAACUAAUAUAUACUGGCAAUAUUUUCAACGAAAGUAAAUGGAAAACAAGGGACUUUUAAAAUUGACCCCAUAUCACGGACAAAUUUUAUAAAUGCUCUAGAAAAUCAAAUAAAAGACAGCAAUGUGAAUGACAUUGUAGAAAUGGAUAAAGUUAUCCUAGAAAUUGCAAACCAAACAUUGAAAGGACAGUUAAGAGUAAGAACCAUUGAUACGGACAAACACAUACAGUCCGACUUCACAAAAGGCAACAGAAUUGAGGACAACUUAUUUGUCAUGAACUAAUGCAUCCUCAGCAGCUUCAGAAAAAAGUCACUCAUAGUAACACCCAAUGAUUUUAAAAAGGCAUUCGACUCUGCCAAAAAAAAAUGGUAGCAAAAUCAUACACAGGUGACAAGACCAUCCAGUAACUAAAUAAAGACAUGCAAAAAGAGAUCAACAUUACCCCGCCCAUCAAACAAGGCUGCACGGUAUCCACCACACUCUUCAAACUGGCCACAUACAUCAUCAUCAACGAACUCAAUACACCCUGCACAGGCUUUAAAGACGAGCAUUUCACAAUACAAACUUUAUUUUAUGCAGAUGACGGGAUGAGUCUAUCACAAUCAGUUGAUGAUGCUAAAUAAUGUAUAGGGUACAUAUCAUCUUAAGACAAGAGUAUGGCCUGGAAAUAAAUCUAGCUAAGAGUAACAUCAUAAUAUUUAACAUGAAAGAAAAGCAGAGUCAGAUUGAGGGAAUUAGAGUUGUAAAAGAAAUAAAGUAUUUAGGAGUCACUGCUAACGACAAUAUAAAUUGUUUCAAGACACACAUAACAAACAUUACCAGGAAGGCACAGACACUAGCCAAUCAAGUCUCCUCAAUCAUCAGCAAAAGUUGUAACAAAAUUAUUAUCGGGAAGACAUUUUGGAAGAGCGUAGCCUUGUAUGGCCUGGACGUGGUAUACUUAAACAAAGCAGAGACCCGAAACUUCCAAAAAAUAGAAAAUCGUGUGUAAAAGAUGUUAUUAGGAGCACCCAUCUUACACCCCAGUGGGCGUGCUGAGCGAGGCGACGCUGAUGAAAGGAAAACUAACCUACUUAAAAUACAUCCUCAGCAAGCAAGACACACUGGUGGGAAACACAUGAAGAGUGUUACAAGAAACUAUAAGGGAGAGAAGUGGGUGAAGGACAUUCAGGAUAAAACUAAAAAAAAUUGGCCUAAAUAACUAUAACAUAGACAAUAAAAAUUAUCAAAUAAAGAAGUGAAUUCUAGACUGGGACACACAAAACUGGAAAAGCAAUCAACAGGACAAAAAGAGUGUGCACCUGUAUGUGAUAUAUAAGACAAAUAAAAGAAUCACACCUGUAUGAUAAUAAACAGCCACCAGUGAUACACUACAGCUUAAUUCCAGAAAAAGGUUUACUGGAACAAUACAAAGUGCAUAUGGUGCAGUGAGGCUUGUGAAAUUUAUAAUAUUUUAUUCUUUAUUGUCCUCUAUACAGUGAGAUCAGGGAAAAAGUCAAGCUCUGUUCCAACAACCAAACAAAGAAAACUGGACUGCUGAACUGCUAUUAGAAGACCACAUUGACAAAGAAGAAGUAAAACAGUCUCUGUACGAGUGCUGGAAAAGAAAAGUGAAGAGCAACGGAUUACAACCACCCAGAAAUAGACAACAGGAAGCAAAGGCUUUCAACUGUUUAGGCCUUCAACUGAACUGAGCUGAGGAGUGAGGAGGGCCAAAGAAGUGUGUGUGUGUGUGUGUGUGUGUGUGUGUGUGUGUGUGUGUGUGUGUGUGUGUGUGUGUGUGUCUGUGUGUGUGUGUGUGUGUGUGUGUGAGUGUGUGUGUGUGUGUGUGUGUCUA